CUUGCUUCUCUUGAGAGCGGCGGACGGGUGAGUAAUGCCUAGGAAUCUGCCUGGUAGUGGGGGAUAACGUUCGGAAACGGACGCUAAUACCGCAUACGUCCUACGGGAGAAAGCAGGGGACCUUCGGGCCUUGCGCUAUCAGAUGAGCCUAGGUCGGAUUAGCUAGUUGGUGGGGUAAUGGCUCACCAAGGCGACGAUCCGUAACUGGUCUGAGAGGAUGAUCAGUCACACUGGAACUGAGACACGGUCCAGACUCCUACGGGAGGCAGCAGUGGGGAAUAUUGGACAAUGGGCGAAAGCCUGAUCCAGCCAUGCCGCGUGUGUGAAGAAGGUCUUCGGAUUGUAAAGCACUUUAAGUUGGGAGGAAGGGUUGUAGAUUAAUACUCUGCAAUUUUGACGUUACCGACAGAAUAAGCACCGGCUAACUCUGUGCCAGCAGCCGCGGUAAUACAGAGGGUGCAAGCGUUAAUCGGAAUUACUGGGCGUAAAGCGCGCGUAGGUGGUUUGUUAAGUUGGAUGUGAAAUCCCCGGGCUCAACCCUGGGAACUGCAUUCAAGACUGACUGAACUAGAGUAUGGUAGAGGGGUGGUGGAAUUCC
rnacentral:rRNA from 1 species